rnacentral:rRNA from 1 species
CAGCAGCCGCGGGAAUACGUAGGUCCCGAGCGUUGUCCGGAUUUAUUGGGCGUAAAGCGAGCGCAGGCGGUUAGAUAAGUCUGAAGUUAAAGGCUGUGGCUUAACCAUAGUACGCUUUGGAAACUGUUUAACUUGAGUGCAGAAGGGGAGAGUGGAAUUCCAUGUGUAGCGGUGAAAUGCGUAGAGAUGUGGAGGAACACCAGUGGCGAAGGCGACUCUCUGGUCUGUAACUGACGCUGAGGAGCGAAAGCGUGGGGAGCGAACAGGAUUAGAGACCCGUGUAGUCCCUGUCUCUUAUACA